UUGAAAUCUGUAGGUGACAAACAAAGACCUCCACCAGAAGUAGGUGACGUUGGAAUCGUUGAAAUCCCAAUUAAUGAUCGUACGUCUGCGAGAACUGGAGCCGACCACUACAACCCGGGAGUUCGGGGCGCCCCUGAACACGUUGAUGCCGUCCGCUCGUCUGGCAUAACAGAUUGGAAGCAGACGCAUUCCAAAGGACGCCUUCUUGCGGCAGAUUUGUCGGCACGCUUUGUAGAAGACUUUAAUUUAUUGUUUUAUUUGAGUGUACCUGAUGCCAGCGUAGGCAAGAACGCUGUAAUAAACAACGGUUGUCCCUACGCCCCGGAAAAAGCAUGCGAAGACAUAUAAGAAUGGGCGAGGGAUGCAGUUCGUCAAUGCCGAACACUCCACUCAGAGGAGAAGCAGAAAGAACGCCUUCUCGCGACAAUAUUUGCCGUAUCUAAAGCAGCAAGCAGAAACACACGAGAUCUAUGUUUUGAAGGAAUGAAAGAUCUUUCAAGAAGUGCUGAGGACGCGCUGAAGGCUAUUCCAAAUCAGACACCUCGACUGGUUCGCAUGGACGACAUCAAAACCAACAGCACUCUACCUGCUAGAGUUGCUAUUGCUUUGUUGAUGAAAGAACGACCAGAUAGCAGGCUAGAUCUACUAUCCAAAUACUGUAGAAUUAGCGAUGACCAUCCUAAGUGUAGUCUCUGUAGGCGUGGGGUCAUGAUGUGGCAGCAUU